CCACCCCACCAUCUCCUCAUAAAGCUUCAUCUUUUGAUCUAAAACAGUCUAGGAGAUCUAAAGAAAAGAGUUUGGAUCAGCCAUCCAGAGCCUUCGACGCGAGCUAGCACUCUCACAAAGGAAGAUCCGAUUAGGACUUCGAGUGAAUGAUCUAUAGAGGUCGGAUGACCUGUGUAGCUGUUCGAUAUCAGUGAGAGCUUCAUACCACACCUAUCAGUAGAUCAUCGAUCCAUAAAAAGGUGAUGAGUUCUGAACUCAACC
rnacentral:lncRNA from 1 species